AUCCAAGACUCUUGAAUUCUGGCUCCAGGAAAGACGGCAGGCUACAGGCUUUAACACCAUAGCAAGUCGAGGGGCAGCUUUUUAUUGAAAGCUUGCUUCAAAUUGCCUGUCGACCCGGCGCACGGGUGAGUAACGCGUAUUCCAACCUUCCGUACAAUCCAGGGAUUAGCCCUUCGGAAAGAAAGAUUAAUACCUGAUGGUAUGAUGAGAAUUGCAUGAUAGCAUCAUUAAAGAUUUAUCGGUGUACGAUGGGGAUGCGUUCCAUUAGGUAGUAGGCGGGGUAACGGCCCACCUAGCCGACGAUGGAUAGGGGCUCUGAGAGGAAAGGUCCCCCACAUUGGAACUGAGACACGGUCCAAACUCCUACGGGAGGGCAGCAGUGAGGAAUAUUGGUCAAUGGAACGAGAGUCUGAACCAGCCAAGUAGCGUGAAGGAUGAAGGUCCUACGGGAUUGUAAACUUUCUUUUAUAAGGGAAUAAACCCUUCCACGUGUGGGAGCUUGUAUGUACCUUAUGAAUACGCAUCGGCUAACUCCCGUGCCAGCAGCCGCGGUAAUACGGAGGAUGCGAGCGUUAUCCGGAUUUAUUGGGUUUAAAGGGAGUGCAGACGGGUCGUUAAGUCAGCUGUGAAAGGUUUGGGGCUCAACCUUAAAAUUGCAGUUGAUACUGGCGUCCUUGAGUGCGGUUGAGGUGUGCGGAAUUCGUGGUGUAGCGGGUGAAAUGCUUAGAUAUCACGAAGAACUCCGAUUGCGAAGGCAGCACACUAAGCCGUUAACUGACGUUCAUGCUCGAAAGUGUGGGUAUCAAACAGGAUUAGAUACCCUGGUAGUCCACACGGUAAACGAUGGAUGACUCGCUGUUGGCGAUAUACUGUCAGCUGGCUUGAGCGAAAGCGUUAAGUUAUUCCCCCCUGGGGAGUACCGCCCGGCAACGGUGCAAACUCAAAUGAAUCUGACCG
rnacentral:rRNA from 1 species